rnacentral:rRNA from 1 species
UACGUAGGGUGCGAGCGUUAAUCGGAAUUACUGGGCGUAAAGCGUGCGCAGGCGGUUGGCAAAGUCAGCUGUGAAAGCCCCGGGCUCAACCUGGGAAUUGCGGUUGAAACUAGUCGACUAGAAUCUGGCAGAGGGGGGUGGAAUUCCACGUGUAGCGGUGAAAUGCGCAGAUAUCAGGAGGAACACCGAUUGCGAAGGCAGCUCGCUGGAACGUUACUGACGCUGAGACGCGAAAGCGUGGGGAGCAAACAGG